rnacentral:rRNA from 1 species
AUUGAACGCUGGCGGCAGGCUUAACACAUGCAAGUCGAACGAGUGGCGGACGGGAGAGUAAUACUUGGGAAUCUAGCUUAUGGAGGGGGAUAACUACGGGAAACUGUAGCUAAUACCGCUUACCAUAGGAUGAGCCCAAGUGGGAUUAGGUAGCUGGUGAGGUAAUGGCUCACCAAGCCGAGGAUCUCUAGCUGGUCUUGGAGUAUGACCAGCCACACUGGGACUGGGCCACGGCCCAGACUCCUAGGGGAGGCAGAAGUGGGGAAUAUUGCGCAAUGGGGGCAACCUGACGCAGCCAUGCCGCGUGAAUGAAGAAGGCCUUCGGGUUGUAAAGUUCUUUCGGUAGCGAGGCGUUAACGACAGAAGAAGCACCGGCUAACUCCGUGCCAGCAGCCGCGGUAAUUG